rnacentral:lncRNA from 1 species
AUUCCCUCCUUCCAAGGGUUAUUUCAUUCAGGUACAAUCUUGCGCUGCAACCUAAUUUCCAUAUCUUCAUCUUUCAGCGUAGACUUCUCUCCUGAGCUACACAAUCUCAUGUUUUAUACUCCUUUGUCUCUUGUAAUGGGCUGUAAGUUUCUGAUGCCUGCUGAUGCUACCUUCUGCACAUCUCUAAAGUCUGUCCCAUCUUUUUCAAGCUCACUGCCAUUGUUUGAGUUCAGCUUAUGAUUUCCCAUCUCGACUAUUGAAAUAGACUCCUUAUCCAAGCCCAUGCCAUCUGUCUAGCCUCCCUCCAAUUCAUCCUCCACAACAACACCGUGGUUAGAUCUAGAGGGAAAAUCUGAUCCUCUUCCUCCUUACAUCCCCUUCAGCCAGGACAGACAGUACCCUUCCAGAAUUUCCCUGCACUGACACUUCCAGCCUUGCU